UACGUAGGGGGCAAGCGUUGUCCGGAUUUAUUGGGCGUAAAGAGCGUGUAGGCGCCAGGUAGGUCCGCUGUGAAAACUCGAGGCUCAACCUCGAGAUGUCGGCGGAAACCAUCUGGCUAGAGUCCGGAAGAGGAGAGUGGAAUUCCAGGUGGUAGCGGUGAAAUGCGUAGAUAUCUGGAGGAAUACCGGUGGCGAAGGCGGCUUUCUGGGCCUUACCUGACGCUGAGACGCGAAAGCGUGGGGAG
rnacentral:rRNA from 1 species